UACUCUUUAUUAGUGCAACCACACAUGACUGCAACAUUGUCUGUUGAAGUUCGUCUGCCACAGUCGUCGUGCGUAUUAAAAAACUUGAAUUUGAAUCAAAAACAUGGGGCCCAAACCAUCUCCAAAGAAGAAGAAAUCCCCAAAGAAAAUAACCGAAAAACUGAAACUAGAAAAAAAAGACGUCGAGAGGUUCAUUUUGUGUGUUAAAAAUCAUCUUGCCUUAAAAGUUUGCCCUGCCUUCUUCAACGCCCAUUUUCCGUAUGAUGUCUGUAAACCUAUGUGCAGUGUGGAUUGCGUUACGGAAAAACUGAAAUAGCGUGGCAGUAAGACUGUAUGCCGAUUUAGCAUUCUCAAUCAUCGACCGCUCUAGGGGCUGGUGUCAUCUAUUCUUCAUUCAUCGACCGGUAUUGAAAUCAGGGCCAUCUAUCCACUGGAAGUGAAACUCGUCCCAAAAAACGAAAAUGGUAGAAUGUCCGAAACACCGUUUUUGCUGUUGCUUUUUCUUUUCUGAGCACGAAUAAAUUAAAUCCAUCAAUGACAA